rnacentral:tRNA from 1 species
GUGGGUGUGGCCCAAGGGUUAGGGCACCUGGUUGUGGCCCAGGAGACUGUGGGUUCGAGUCCCACCAUCCACCCCA